rnacentral:rRNA from 1 species
CCUACGGGAGGCAGCAGUGGGGAAUAUUGCACAAUGGGGGAAACCCUGAUGCAGCGACGCCGCGUGAAGGAAGAAGUAUUUCGGUAUGUAAACUUCUAUCAGCAGGGAAGAAAAUGACGGUACCUGACUAAGAAGCCCCGGCUAACUACGUGCCAGCAGCCGCGGUAAUACGUAGGGGGCAAGCGUUAUCCGGAUUUACUGGGUGUAAAGGGAGCGUAGGCGGUGCAGCAAGUCAGAAGUGAAAGCCCGGGGCUCAACUCCGGGACUGCGUUUGAAACUGUUGAACUAGAGUGCAGGAGAGGUAAGUGGAAUUCCUAGUGUAGCGGUGAAAUGCGUAGAUAUUAGGAGGAACACCAGUGGCGAAGGCGGCUUACUGGACUGUAAAUGACGCUGAGGCUCGAAAGCGUGGGGAGCAAACAGGAUUAGAUACCCCAGUAGUC